AACGAACGCUGGCGGCAUGCCUAACACAUGCAAGUCGAACGAGACCUUCGGGUCUAGUGGCGCACGGGUGCGUAACGCGUGGGAACCUGCCCUUAGGUUCGGAAUAACUCCCCGAAAGGGGUGCUAAUACCGGAUAAUGUCUUCGGACCAAAGAUUUAUCGCCUUUGGAUGGGCCCGCGUUGGAUUAGCUAGUUGGUAGGGGAAAAGCCUACCAAGGCGACGAUCCAUAGCUGGUCUGAGAGGAUGAUCAGCCACACUGGGAUUGAGACACGGCCCAGACUCCUACGGGAAGCAGCAGUGGGGAAUAUUGGACAAUGGGCGAAAGCCUGAUCCAGCAAUGCCGCGUGAGUGAUGAAGGCCUUAGGGUUGUAAAGCUCUUUUACCCGGGAUGAUAAUGACAGUACCGGGAGAAUAAGCUCCGGCUAACUCCGUG
rnacentral:rRNA from 1 species